GACGGUACCGUAAGAAUAAGCACCGGCUAACUACGUGCCAGCAGCCGCGGUAAUACGUAGGGUGCGAGCGUUAAUCGGAAUUACUGGGCGUAAAGCGUGCGCAGGCGGUUAUGUAAGACAGAUGUGAAAUCCCCGGGCUCAACCUGGGAACUGCAUUAGUGACUGCAUAGCUGGAGUACGGCAGAGGGGGAUGGAAUUCCGCGUGUAGCAGUGAAAUGCGUAGAUAUGCGGAGGAACACCGAUGGCGAAGGCAAUCCCCUGGGCCUGUACUGACGCUCAUGCACGAAAGCGUGGGGAGCAAACAGGAUUAGAUACCCUGGUAGUCCACGCCCUAAACGAUGUCAACUGGUUGUUGGGUCUUCACUGACUCAGUAACGAAGCUAACGCGUGAAGUUGACCGCCUGGGGAGUACGGCCGCA
rnacentral:rRNA from 1 species